UUGUGUUUCAUCAGCGAAGAAAUGGCCGUCGGGAAUAGGGGGAAACAGUAAGCCGAAAUCAACAUCUUCAAUCAAUUUCGUUGUAUCAUUAGACGAUCUCUCACAUCAUUUUGUUUUUUGUUUUUUGUUUUUUCUUGACGUGACCAAAAAAGGUUUGAGCGUCGCCCGUGAAACUGGAACCGCCAGGAUUGGCCGUCAAAAGCAAGAACAUAAUUUUUUUCUUUUUCUUUUAAAGAAAAUAACAAAAAACAAGUGGCCGUCCGUUCGGGACCAUCUGCCUCAUCUUUCGCUCGUAAAUGAGUGCAACGGUGCGGAUUUAACGACGGGCGACAGUCCGUACAGCCCAUUUCGCUAGUGUUACGCAAUCGGGCCAGUCGAUCGAAAAGCCAAGGCCGUCCGGUAAGUCGCUAAAUGUCGAUCAAGUGUUCCAGACGGUGCCGUGUGUGUCUGCGUGCAUCGGUUACACUUGUGCGUUGCGCUUUUGCUGGCCCCUUUCUCUCUAUCCAACGUUGAGACUGGCGCCCAGUCCUUUCCGAGACCCUUUUUUUUUCUUUUCUUCUUCUUCUUUCCCGCUGGCCGGGAGUUCACGGCCCACAAGGCCAAAGCUUCCCACCCUCCCCACCCAACAGGUAAAAAGAAAAAAAAACGUCCAAAAUAGAGAGAAAGAGAGAGAGAGAGAGAAGAGUUUUUCUUUUUGCCCACCUGCCCUAAGGCAUUUAAAAAAAAAAAGAAAAAAGAAUCCAGUAGUAUAUCCCACCGCUCUGGUGAUUCAUCCACGCAACAGGUAGGACUGAAUAAAAAGAAAAAAAAAAAAGGGCGGAGGAGAGCGAGAGAAAGAUUUUCAAGGGGGGGAGGAGGAGGAGGGCAUGAUGGAGGAGCUGUGGGGUAUAAAAUGGGUGGUCAGGUGUCGCGCGCCCGCCUUGUGCUCCGCCAUCCUUCGUCCGGAGCAGUCGUGCGUCUCUACUAUUCAAGAUGGGAACUUUUGUGUGUGGUGAUUCCACGAGGGCGGACGGACAACAUCAACAGUCUGCGAGGAGAACAGGAUCACAAGUGGCAAGGGAAAAAGAAAACGAUUGUUCGGCAACGAGAAAACAGGUAAGACAACAACAAGUCGAUUUCAAGUUGUUCAAAUGUUUGAACAGGACGCGAGUCAACAACAGUUGGACACAAAACUCGACGAGAUUUGUUUUGUUUUUUUCUUCAAAAGAAACCAAAACAAAAGAGAGAGUCUUCAAUUGUUGAUGAGCAUUUUGCUAUUCUGUUUUUGUUUUUAAUUAAUUAUUCUAAUUUCAAGAAGUGAUCUUAUUUUUUUUUGUGUUUCGUUGGACAACAAUGUUGCCCCAGAAAACGAGAGAGAGAACUUCAUUGUUAUCCAAAAGAGUUUUCUGACAUGUGUGUGUGUAUUGAGAACUACAUAAUAAACGGAUUUGACUACA